AGCGAACGCUGGCGGCAGGCCUAACACAUGCAAGUCGAACGAACCUUUCGGGGUUAGUGGCGGACGGGUGAGUAACACGUGGGAACGUGCCUUUAGGUUCGGAAUAACUCAGGGAAACUUGUGCUAAUACCGAAUGUGCCCUUCGGGGGAAAGAUUUAUCGCCUUUAGAGCGGCCCGCGUCUGAUUAGCUAGUUGGUUGAGGUAAUGGCUCACCAAGGCGACGAUCAGUAGCUGGUCUGAGAGGAUGAUCAGCCACAUUGGGACUGAGACACGGCCCAAACUCCUACGGGAGGCAGCAGUGGGGAAUCUUGCGCAAUGGGCGAAAGCCUGACGCAGCCAUGCCGCGUGAAUGAUGAAGGUCUUAGGAUUGUAAAAUUCUUUCACCAGGGACGAUAAUGACGGUACCCGGAGAAGAAGCCCCGGCUAACUUCGU
rnacentral:rRNA from 1 species